rnacentral:rRNA from 1 species
UUUUUCCUACGGGGGGCAGCAGUGAGGAAUAUUGGUCAAUGGCCGAGAGGCUGAACCAGCCAAGUCGCGUGAGGGAAGACGGCCCUACGGGUUGUAAACCUCUUUUGUCGGGGAGCAAAGCGAGUCACGUGUGACUCAUUGAGAGUACCCGAAGAAAAAGCAUCGGCUAACUCCGUGCCAGCAGCCGCGGUAAUACGGAGGAUGCGAGCGAUAUCCGGAUUUAUUGGGUUUAAAGGGUGCGCAGGCGGAGGUGCAAGUCAGCGGUCAAGUUGCGGGGCUCAACCCCGUACUGCCGUUGAAACUGC